rnacentral:rRNA from 1 species
UGGGGAAUAUUGGACAAUGGGCGCAAGCCUGAUCCAGCCAUGCCGCGUGAGUGAUGAAGGCCUUAGGGUUGUAAAGCUCUUUCACCGAUGAAGAUAAUGGCGGUAGUCGGAGAAGAAGCCCCGGCUAACUUCGUGCUAG